CCUACGGGAGGCAGCAGUGAGGAAUAUUGGUCAAUGGGCGCGAGCCUGAACCAGCCAAGUCGCGUGAGGGAAGACGGUCCUAUGGAUUGUAAACCUCUUUUGUCGGGGAGCAAAAGACGCCACGCGUGGCGUUCCGAGAGUACCCGAAGAAAAAGCAUCGGCUAACUCCGUGCCAGCAGCCGCGGUAAUACGGAGGAUGCGAGCGUUAUCCGGAUUUAUUGGGUUUAAAGGGUGCGCAGGCGGAAGAGCAAGUCAGCGGUAAAAUUGAGAGGCUCAACCUCUUCGAGCCGUUGAAACUGGUUUGCUUGAGUGAGUGAGAAGUAUGCGGAAUGCGUGGUGUAGCGGUGAAAUGCAUAGAUAUCACGCAGAACUCCGAUUGCGAAGGCAGCAUACCGGCGCUCAACUGACGCUCAUGCACGAAAGUGUGGGUAUCGAACAGGAUUAGAUACCCUUGUAGUC
rnacentral:rRNA from 1 species